rnacentral:lncRNA from 1 species
GGGGCAUGUUGGGAGACACUGUACAGCUAAGAGUUCCACGGGCUCUUCUGCAUUUGGGGUCAGGCCGGAGAGGAGCCAGAAGAAGUUUGCUAGCAGACUGAGUCACCCAGAGGCCGACCCUUUCACACAAGCUGUCAUACCUCGGCGAAGUAACAUUCACGGCCAUACCUUCGACCACCUGUUUUCCAGUGCUCUCACACCUUCCCAACCCCCUGUUCGGAAACAAGACUGGAAGUGGAAAGUUCCAGAACUGAUGAGCCAAAGGACAAAACCGUGGGGAGCAGGCCUGGCCGCCGAGGCCCAGACCCUGGCAUUGGGCGCCUACGGCGGCUCUGGAGCACGUCUCUCAGGACGAACGGCCCACACAGAGAUCAGAUAAAUAUCACCCGGAAAAGAAUCUCAUAUACCUCUUUGGGGAAUCCUUCCUUCCCCACUCCUGCAUGCUCUCGCCAAAAAAAAAAAAAAU